rnacentral:lncRNA from 1 species
CUGGGUUUGUUGCUGAGAAGAUAUCAUCAGAAGCAGAGUCAAAUUGUUUGUUGAAACAAGUUGCUAAUGCAAUUGAUCGAAUUGAAUUCCAGAUUUCAGCUUUGCAGCUGUGCUCUGAUCGGGCUAUGUCUAGUUCAGAUAUGCCUGUAAUACAGAAAGAACAAGGGGUAGUUAAAAAGAACCGACUGAGUCAAUUUGCUGAUUCUGUUUCAGAUAAAAGUAAGGUGGUGAGUCGACAAGCGAGUUACAUCAGGAAUGAACUGGUGAGGCAGCGAGUUAAUGAGUCCAGUGGCCAAAAUGUUCAUGGGUUAAGGCUUCCACCAUGUCCCAAUGAUUUCUCACAUAGACGACCUCCUUUGCCUUGUACAAGACCCAGUCCUGCUGGGAAAGAAC